UACGGAGGGUGCAAGCGUUAUCCGGAUUUACUGGGUUUAAAGGGUGCGUAGGUGGGUCUGUAAGUCAGUGGUGAAAUCUCCGAGCUUAACUCGGAAACUGCCAUUGAUACUAUAGGUCUUGAAUUAUCUGGAGGUAAGCGGAAUAUGUCAUGUAGCGGUGAAAUGCUUAGAUAUGACAUAGAACACCAAUUGCGAAGGCAGCUUACUACGGAUAUAUUGACACUGAGGCACGAAAGCGUGGGGAGCAAACGGG
rnacentral:rRNA from 1 species